rnacentral:rRNA from 1 species
AGAGUUUGAUCCUGGCUCAGGACGAACGCUGGCGGCGUGCUUAACACAUGCAAGUCGAACGCUGAAGCCUGGUGCUUGCACCGGGUGGAUGAGUGGCGAACGGGUGAGUAAUACGUGAGUGACCUGCCUUUGACUCUGGGAUAAGCCUGGGAAACUGGGUCUAAUACCGGAUGCGACUACUGCCCGCAUGGGCUGGUGGUGGAAAGGGUUAUGUACUGGUCUUAGAUGGGCUCACGGCCUAUCAGCUGGUUGGUGGGGUAAUGGCCUACCAAGGCGACGACGGGUAGCCGGCCUGAGAGGGUGACCGGCCACACUGGGACUGAGACACGGCCCAGACUCCUACGGGAGGCAGCAGUGGGGAAUAUUGCACAAUGGGCGCAAGCCUGAUGCAGCGACGCCGCGUGAGGGAUGACGGCCUUCGGGUUGUAAACCUCUUUCAGCAGGGAAGAAGCGGAAGUGACGGUACCUGCAGAAGAAGCGCCGGCUAACUACGUG